AAAAGGGAUGUCCUAAUCUUUCAACAUUAAAAAGAAUGUUUUUAAAAAAUAAAAGAGACUUUAACUGUGUGCAUCAUAGAAUUAACUGUGCAUUAAAUAAUGCUGUGUGUAUAAGAAAAUGGUAUUUUGAUAAUAACAUGUCUGUGUUUAAUUUAUUCAGCAAAAAGUUUGGAAAUGAUGAAGUGGAUUGUUAAUAAUGUGUCAUAAAAUACCAAUAUACAUACUUAUAUUAUGAAAAACAUUCGUUUCAUGUUCAUUCCUGUCUAUUGCACUUACACGUGUCUGGUGCUAAAUAUGACACCACACAGGUGCACUCGUAUAAAGAAUACAGGUUUAAACUUGUUAAAACAUGACAUUGAUUCAAAGCAUACGAGUCUUUAUUGAGUACUGUUACAUUAAACUAUUUCACUUCCUUCGUCAUUGCGCUGUCCGUUGUCGAAGUGGUAACAUCUCAUCAAAAAAUAAAACAUUAUCAUCAAUAAUGUGUGAUUCUCCUGACAUUCGUUUCUCACAAUACGCUCAAGGUUUUCCUACUCCAAGUUUGAGCUGGCAUACACCAGAGCCACAACCUCGUGCGAGUAAGAAGCCUAGAGUGAGACGUCAAAAGCAAAAGCAGACUCCAGUGUACCAAUCGUUCGUCAUCAACAAUGAGAAGAAAAAAGGAGUACGGCUCAUUCAAGUACAAGUGUUGGACAUUAAUGAACAACAAAAACCUGCAACCCCUGACGGAGAAGUGCUAGUGAUGAGUGCGCAAUACGUUGUGACUGAGCCUGUGGACUAUAUAAUGGACGAGACACAGGCAUUAAUAAAUAAAAUAUCCAAAAAACUUUGUGAAGACUA